rnacentral:lncRNA from 1 species
GGGGGAGGGGGGAAGACCAACUGGUCUCAGCAACUGGUCCCAGAAGAUAACAUGGGACAAAGCCAGCCCUGUGGGCAGUUUUAUGCGGAGGUGAGGCUGAGGAGGCCCAUUUGAGACAUGCCGGGUUUGCAGCAGCAUCCGCAGAACAUUCCAGAAGGAGAUGCCCAAGACAGAGCCAGCACCUCGACCCAAAACUCAGGAAAACACAGGCAAGUUUCAUGGUUGCCACUGGUCUCUGGCUUCUUGGCCGCGAUAGGACCCGAAAGCCCAGCUCUGUGUCCUGCCAUCAGCUGGGGGGGGGGGGUGAAUGGCCUCCAGCUCAAGCCAACGGGGUGUCCAUUUCCGGCCCCUGUUUCUAGGGAGUCCUUUGAACUACCUGGCUUGGCUCACACCCAUGACCUACUGAAGCUGGCCCCCGGUUUCUGACUCCCUCUCUGAAGAGUUUUUCCAUUCCCUCUGCCCCUCAGUUCUGCCCUUCACCCUUGACUUCUAGCAUGUUGGGCCACCUGGGCUUUCUCUCCACAGAGCUCCUGCUGACCUUCAGGACAGACUUUCUGUGAGUGGGUGUUAUCACCCACAUUGUACAGAUGAAGAAAACUGAGGAUUCCAGAACUGGGUUGCCUUUUUGAAGCCCCCAUUCUCUGUCCUCAGGGAACUCAUCUAGUGACAGAAACAAAUCCAUAAACACCCACAACACUACCCACAUUCUACGUGAAUGUGAACUGUGUGAUUUUUGAAGAUCUGCAGCGUAGAAAUAUAAACCAUUCCCAGUCGAUGUGCCAAAUGUGAAAGAAUUCAAGUCCCCACCCCCUUCAGCCACGUAUCAACUACAUAACUUCCCAGUUGGCAGGUGGAACGAGCUCCAAACUGUGUCUAUGCUCCUGCUCUAUUCUAUACCUGUGCUACUUUAGCUAGAGGACAGAAAUGCUCAUCAUCACCAUUGGUGGCAUUGGUCUUAAGUGCACACAUUCACAAUCGUGAGCAAUCUUUAAGAGCACACUCUUCUUUUUUCUUUUAAGUUUAUUUGAGAAAGAGAGCAGCAUGAGCAGGGAAGGGGCAGAGAGAGAAGGAGAGAGAGAAUCUCAAGCAGGCUCCUCGAUAUCAGGACUUGGAGCCCGGUGUGGGGCUCGAUCUCAUAAACCGUGAGAUCAUGACCUGGGCUGAAAUCAAGAGUCAGAUGCUUAACCCACUGAACCGCCCAGGCGCCCUGAGGAGCAUAGUCUUCUGAUGGGAUUUAUGGAGUAGGUGCUUCAGGGGCAUCUUUAUCACACAGACCACUGAUGGUCCCCGGGCAGAGCAAGGUCAUGUCUACCCAGGAGAAGAGGGGAAGUCAUUGUUUCUUUUAAACCCCUCUGCAGCCCUAGGAAUCGAGUGUUACUAUUAUUUUGUAAAUUAACAAAUUAUUUUAUAAAUGGAGAAAUUGCCUUGUAAUUUAAAAUAUGCCCAUACAUUCUUUUAUCCUUCUUCCUUUGAAGGUGGAGCCUCAUUGUCCUCCGUGUGCUCGUGGGCUGCACUUGGUGAAUCCAGUGUAGACUUCCAAGAGUGGAUCCCGAAAGGCACCAUGGCCUCCUCUUUGCUGACUGUUUGGGUCACUCAUUCUGGGGAAGGCCAGCUGCCAUGUCACAAGGACCGUCAAGCAGCCCUCGGGAGAAAAGCAUGUGGCAAGGAACAGAGCACCCCCCUCCACCCCCCACCCCACAGUCAUGGGAACGAGCCAUUUUGGAAACCCCAGUCAAAGCUCCUGGUGACCACAGCUCUAGCUGUUGAGUUGACCGCACCUCCUGAAAGAGACCUUGAG